rnacentral:rRNA from 1 species
CCCCUAGAUGUCCGGGGCCGCACGCGCGCUACACUGAAGGAAUCAGCGUGGCUUUCUCCCUGACCCGAAAGGGUUGGGAAACCCGUUGAAUCUCCUUCGUGAUAGGGAUUGGGGCUUGAAAUUGUUCCCCAUGAACGAGGAAUUCCCAGUAAGCGCGAGUCAUAAGCUCGCGUUGAUUACGUCCCUGCCCUUUGUACACACCGCCCGUCGCUACUACCGAUUGAACGGUUUAGUGAGGGCCUCGGAUUGGUCUCGGCCCGCUCUUUACCGGGCGGCGCCGUUGGUCGAGAAGACGCUCGAACUUGAUCGUUUAGAGGAAGUAAAAGUCGUAACA